GUGCCAGCCGCCGCGGUAAUACGUAGGUGGCGAGCGUUAUCCGGAUUUACUGGGUGUAAAGGGCGCGUAGGCGGGAAUGCAAGUCAGAUGUGAAAUCCAAGGGCUCAACCCUUGAACUGCAUUUGAAACUGUAUUUCUUGAGUGUCGGAGAGGUUGACGGAAUUCCUAGUGUAGCGGUGAAAUGCGUAGAUAUUAGGAGGAACACCAGUGGCGAAGGCGGUCAACUGGACGAUAACUGACGCUGAGGCGCGAAAGCGUGGGGAGCAAACAGGAUUAGAUACCCUUGUAGUCC
rnacentral:rRNA from 1 species